GGCCACUGCUAAAAUCCAUAAAGCCCAGGACAGUAUUUUUCUCUCCCUCGGGUCCAGCGGGUAGAUAAUAACACAGAGGACCUUGGUGGGCCCCUCAUCAUUGUGGCCGGGACAGCAUCGACAACAGCCCUGUCUGGCUGUCAGUCGUAUUGUUGACUAGGGGCCCGGAGUGACACUGGCCCCCUGAAGCGUCCACCUGAUAUAGCAGUGAAAGAUCACAGACAUGGACUUUCAGCCUGGUCCAAACUUGAGAAAACUGUACUAAGCAGAUUUUGAUGGAUGUCCCUGCUGAAAAGACCAGCAUGUACAAUUUCCAAACCAACUGCGAUUCGCCGCAGCCAGACUCCCAGGAGGCCACUGGUGUCUGGACAUGAUGUCACACCUCUAACAUCUUCUAGCCUCUGCUGCCUGAAAGUGACAGCUCUUGGCUUCUUCACGGUGAAGAGAAAGCCUGCGUGGAAUGGUUUCUCUGCACUCAGUACUGCACCAAACUUCUGGUUUCCGUGCUGAAAAGACACUGCUGUUGUGUUUUGGUACCCAGUGUGGGAUUCAGGCUUCUUCGGCCCAAAACACACUCUCUGAAUGUACCUUAAUGUUCUUGCUAUACAAGCGUGAUUUCACAUUGCUUUAAUAAAUGCAUCAGAACACAUUCAAGGGGUACUAUUGCAUGGUAAACAAACGUUUAUAGAUAUUAAGAAACUAAAAUGUAAUAUAUUAAUAAUUAAUGAAAGCAGUUAUUAUUGCGAAACAAUUAAGUCAAUAAAUAAUUAAACCAAUAAAUGAAAUAUACCUCUAUUUAUUUUUUAAUAUUCCAUGAAAAAACACACCAUUUAAUAUCCACUUUCAUAAAACCACUACUGCAAUUAAAUGAUUU